rnacentral:tRNA from 1 species
GGGGUGGUGGCGCAGUUGGCUAGCGCGUAGGUCUCAUAAUCCUGAGCGAGAGUUUGAGCCUCUCUCACCCCA